UAUAUCGGUAAUAACUAUAAUAAUUAAUAAUGUUAAGUCGAAAUUCUAGGAAAACAUUCACGGGCAGCAGAGGAGAACCAAAUUUUCACUGAUCUAAUUUGUAAAAUAGAAAUGUUCUUUGUAAAACACCAAAUAGACAAACGCUAUAAUAAUAGACCAAGAAAUUCGCGUGAAGAAAUGCAAAGGAAGACAAAUAAUAAGAUAUGAUGUAGAGUUGCUACUAACAAAAUCCUCGGAUUGAUUACGGAAGAAUAAUA